rnacentral:piRNA from 1 species
UGGGACUGAAGCCUGUUGGAUGGCGCCA